rnacentral:rRNA from 1 species
AAUGAACGCUGGCGGCAGGCCUAACACAUGCAAGUCGAGCGGAGCGGCGGACGGGUGAGUACUGCCUAGGAAUCUGCCUGGGAGUGGGGGAUAACGUCCGGGAACGGGCGCUAAUACCGCAUACUAUCAGAUGAGCCUAGGUCGUAUUAGCUAGUUGGUGGGGGAAAGGCCUACCAAGGCGACGAUCCGUAACUGGUCUGAGAGGAUGAUCAGUCACACUGGAACUUAGACACGGUCCAGACUCCUACGGCAGGCAGCAGUGGGGCAUAUUGGCCAAUGGUCGAAAGCCUGAUCCAGCCAUGCCGCGUGUGUGAAGAAGUUCUUCGGAUUGUAAAGCCCUUUAAGUUGGGAGGCGUUACCAACAGAAUAAGCACCGGCUAACUUCGUGCCAGCCGCCGCGGUAAUUC